ensembl:lncRNA
GCUCCUGCUGCUGCUAAGUUGCUUCAGUCGUGUCCGACUCCGUGCGACUCCAUAGACGGCAGCCCACCAGGCUCCUCCGCCCAUGGGAUUUUCCAGAGGCUGUGACUGAGCUGCAUCUGUGAAGAGCAAAGAGGUCACCUCUUUCUCAUCACCUUUCCCCGAGAGCUCCACGUACCUGCGCCUGAGGACGCCAGCUCAUUCCAUAAAUACCUCAACCCCUUCCUUACGGGAGGUGCAUCUGAGACUUUCUCCUUUCAUUUCUACCUUAGGCUGCCUUGCACAUAAACCUCGUCUCAGCUGCAGAGCUUGGGGUCUCAGCAUUUGGCUCGCUGGGUGUUGGGGAAAAGAAAUCUAGUUUGGUAACAACUUUACAACUGAAGGUGCCACCUGGUGCAGAAGGAAAAGCGUUGAGCUGUACUUCAGAAGAACGAAGAAUGAUACUAGGCCAGCAUGAUACCAACUUCUCCAUGCUGGUUUUCUCACCAGUAAAGCUAAAAGGAAAGCACAGCUUCUCGGUGCCAUCAGCUCCUUUGAUGACUGGGUUGUGGGUUUAGCAGCUUCCCUGGCGCCCACUUUGAGCCUCACUGAUGCCCCAGGUAUCACGAGUCCACUGGAGCCCUGUGCUCAUGGGCGUGGGUACCACAACCCAAGGAUGAGGCUGCUAGAAAUCACCGCAGACACACACGCAUGCGCAUACACAUGGUGCGCGUCCCGGCUCCGCUCAACGCAAGUCCACACCCGGACUUCACUUAUAAAGCACAUAUUCAAGGGUACAAUGAUUAAGACCUGUAAGAGGGUGCUAGCAGAGUGUUACACCCAGCACAGGACCCUCCAG